rnacentral:rRNA from 1 species
UUGGAGGGCAAGUCUGGUGCCAGCAGCCGCGGUAAUUCCAGCUCCAAUAGCGUAUAUUAAAGUUGUUGCAGUUAAAAAGCUCGUAGUUGAAUUUCGGGAUCAAUACGUCGGUCGUGCUCUUUUGGUACGCACUGGCGUCAUUGGUUUCUCCUUUCUGACGAACCAUGAUGUCAUUAAUUUGGUGUUAUGGGGAGUUAGGACUGUUACUUUGAAAAAAUUAGAGUGUUUAAAGCAGGCAUUAGCUUGAAUACAUAAGCAUGGAAUAAUGAAAUAGGACGUUCGAUCCUAUUUUGUUGGUUUCUAGGAUCAACGUAAUGAUUAAUAGGGAUAGUUGGGGGCAUUAGUAUUCAAUUGUCAGAGGUGAAAUUCUUGGAUUUAUUGAAGACUAACUACUGCGAAAGCAUUUGCCAAGGAUGUCUUCAUUAAUCAAGAACGAAAGUUAGGGGAUCGAAGACGAUCAGAUACCGUCGUAGUCUUAACCAUAAACUAUGCCGACUAGGGAUCGGAUGAUGUUAAUUUUUUAAUGACUCAUUCGGCGCCUUACGGGAAAC